UAAGGAAUAUUGGUCAAUGGACGCAAGUCUGAGCCAGCCAUGCCGCGUGGAGGAUGAAGGCCCUCUGGGUUGUAAACUUCUUUUAUAUGGGACGAAAAAGGGUCUUUCUAGAUCAACUGACGGUACCAUGUGAAUAAGCACCGGCUAACUCCGUGCCAGCAGCCGCGGUAAUACGGAGGGUGCAAGCGUUAUCCGGAUUCAUUGGGUUUAAAGGGUCCGCAGGCGGUCUUAUAAGUCAGUGGUGAAAGCCUACAGCUCAACUGUAGAACUGCCAUUGAUACUGUAAGACUUGAAUUCGAUCGAAGUGGGCGGAAUAUGACAUGUAGCGGUGAAAUGCUUAGAUAUGUCAUAGAACACCAAUUGCGAAGGCAGCUGGCUACGCAUAUAUUGACACUGAGGCACGAAAGCGUGGGGAUCAAACA
rnacentral:rRNA from 1 species